rnacentral:rRNA from 1 species
UGCGUAGGUGGCGUGGUAAGUCUGAUGUGAAAGCCCACGGCUCAACCGUGGAGGGUCAUUGGAAACUGGAGAACUUGAGUACAGAAGAGGAAAGCGGAAUUCCACGUGUAGCGGUGAAAUGCGUAGAGAUGUGGAGGAACACCAGUGGCGAAGGCGGCUUUCUGGUCUGUAACUGACGCUGAGGCGCGAAAGCGUGGGGAGCAAACAGGAUUAGAUACCCGCGUA